rnacentral:rRNA from 1 species
AAGCGUGCGCAGGCGGUUUUGUAAGUCAGAUGUGAAAUCCCCGAGCUCAACUUGGGAACUGCGUUUGAAACUACAAGACUAGAAUAUGUCAGAGGGGGGUAGAAUUCCACGUGUAGCAGUGAAAUGCGUAGAGAUGUGGAGGAAUACCAAUGGCGAAGGCAGCCCCCUGGGAUAAUAUUGACGCUCAUGCACGAAAGCGUGGGGAGCAAACAGGAUUAGAUACCCUGGUAGUCCACGCCCUAAACGAUGUCUACUAGUUGUUGGUGGAGUAAAAUCCAUGAGUAACGCAGCUAACGCGUGAAGUAGACCGCCUGGGGAGUACGGUCGCAAGAUUAAAACUCAAAUGAAUUGACGGGGGCCCGCACAAGCGGUGGAUUAUGUGGAUUAAUUCGAUGCAACGCGAAAAACCUUACCUGGCCUUGACAUGUAACGAACUUUCCAGAGAUGGAUUGGUGCUCGAAAGAGAGCGUUAACACAGGUGCUGCAUGGCUGUCGUCAGCUCGUGUCGUGAGAUGUUGGGUUAAGUCCCGCAACGAGCGCAACCCUUGCCAUUAAUUGCCAUCAUUUAGUUGGGCACUUUAAUGGGACUGCCGGUGACAAACCGGAGGAAGGUGGGGAUGACGUCAAGUCCCCAUGGCCCUUAUGGCCAGGGCUUCACACGUAAUACAAUGGUCGGUACAGAGGGUUGCCAAGCCGCGAGGUGGAGCCAAUCCCAGAAAGCCGAUCGUAGUCCGGAUUGUAGUCUGCAACUCGACUACAUGAAGUCGGAAUCGCUAGUAAUCGCGGAUCAGCAUGUCGCGGUGAAUACGUUCCCGGGCCUUGUACACACCGCCCGUCACACCAUGGGAGUGGGUUUUACCAGAAGUAGGUAGUCUAACCUUCGGGAGGACGCUUACCACGGUAGUAUUCAUGACUGGGGUGAAGUCGUAACAAGGUAA